rnacentral:rRNA from 1 species
AGAGUUGAUCAUGGCUCAGAUUGAACGCUGGCGGCAUGCCUUACACAUGCAAGUCGAACGGCAGCACGGGAGCUUGCUCCUGGUGGCGAGUGGCGAACGGGUGAGUAAUAUAUCGGAACGUGCCCUAGAGUGGGGGAUAACUAGUCGAAAGAUUAGCUAAUACCGCAUACGAUCUAUGGAUGAAAGUGGGGGAUCGCAAGACCUCAUGCUCCUGGAGCGGCCGAUAUCUGAUUAGCUAGUUGGUGAGGUAAAGGCUCACCAAGGCGACGAUCAGUAGCUGGUCUGAGAGGACGACCAGCCACACUGGAACUGAGACACGGUCCAGACUCCUACGGGAGGCAGCAGUGGGGAAUUUUGGACAAUGGGCGCAAGCCUGAUCCAGCAAUGCCGCGUGAGUGAAGAAGGCCUUCGGGUUGUAAAGCUCUUUUGUCAGGGAAGAAACGGUUGUGGCUAAUAUCCAUGACUAAUGACGGUACCUGAAGAAUAAGCACCGGCUAACUACGUGCCAGCAGCCGCGGUAAUACGUAGGGUGCAAGCGUUAAUCGGAAUUACUGGGCGUAAAGCGUGCGCAGGCGGUUGUGCAAGACAGAUGUGAAAUCCCCGGGCUUAACCUGGGAAUUGCAUUUGUGACUGCACGGCUAGAGUGUGUCAGAGGGGGGUAGAAUUCCACGUGUAGCAGUGAAAUGCGUAGAUAUGUGGAGGAAUACCGAUGGCGAAGGCAGCCCCCUGGGAUAACACUGACGCUCAUGCACGAAAGCGUGGGGAGCAAACAGGAUUAGAUACCCUGGUAGUCCACGCCCUAAACGAUGUCUACUAGUUGUCGGGUCUUAAUUGACUUGGUAACGCAGCUAACGCGUGAAGUAGACCGCCUGGGGAGUACGGUCGCAAGAUUAAAACUCAAAGGAAUUGACGGGGACCCGCACAAGCGGUGGAUGAUGUGGAUUAAUUCGAUGCAACGCGAAAAACCUUACCUACCCUUGACAUGUACGGAAUCCUGAAGAGAUUUGGGAGUGCUCGAAAGAGAGCCGUAACACAGGUGCUGCAUGGCUGUCGUCAGCUCGUGUCGUGAGAUGUUGGGUUAAGUCCCGCAACGAGCGCAACCCUUGUCAUUAGUUGCUACGAAAGGGCACUCUAAUGAGACUGCCGGUGACAAACCGGAGGAAGGUGGGGAUGACGUCAAGUCCUCAUGGCCCUUAUGGGUAGGGCUUCACACGUCAUACAAUGGUACAUACAGAGGGCCGCCAACCCGCGAGGGGGAGCUAAUCCCAGAAAGUGUAUCGUAGUCCGGAUUGGAGUCUGCAACUCGACUCCAUGAAGUUGGAAUCGCUAGUAAUCGCGGAUCAGCAUGUCGCGGUGAAUACGUUCCCGGGUCUUGUACACACCGCCCGUCACACCAUGGGAGCGGGUUCUGCCAGAAGUAGUUA